UCAGGUAAAGCUGGGAACUCUGGGGAGACUGCCGGUGAUAAACCGGAGGAAGGCGGGGAUGACGUCAAGUCCUCAUGGCCCUUACAUCCCGGGCUACACACGUGCUACAAUGGCAGGUACAGAGGGCUGCGAAGCCGCGAGGUGGAGCGAAUCCCGAAAAGCCUGUCUCAGUCCGGAUCGGAGUCUGCAACUCGACUCCGUGAAGUUGGAAUCGCUAGUAAUCGUGGAUCAGCAUGCCACGGUGAAUACGUUCCCGGGCCUU
rnacentral:rRNA from 1 species